GGCCCUUUCGGGGGUACACGAGUGGCGAACGGGUGAGUAACACGUGGGUAAUCUGCCCUGCACUUCGGGAUAAGCCUGGGAAACUGGGUCUAAUACCGGAUAUGAGCUCUGGCCGCAUGGUCUGGGGUUGGAAAGUUUUUCGGUGCAGGAUGAGCCCGCGGCCUAUCAGCUUGUUGGUGGGGUAAUGGCCUACCAAGGCGACGACGGGUAGCCGGCCUGAGAGGGUGAUCGGCCACACUGGGACUGAGACACGGCCCAGACUCCUACGGGAGGCAGCAGUGGGGAAUAUUGCACAAUGGGCGGAAGCCUGAUGCAGCGACGCCGCGUGGGGGAUGACGGUCUUCGGAUUGUAAACCCCUUUCAGUAGGGACGAAGCGCAAGUGACGGUACCUGCAGAAGAAGCACCGGCCAACUACGUGCCAGCAGCCGCGGUAAUACGUAGGGUGCGAGCGUUGUCCGGAAUUACUGGGCGUAAAGAGCUCGUAGGCGGUUUGUCACGUCGUCUGUGAAAUCCUCCAGCUUAACUGGGGGCGUGCAGGCGAUACGGGCAGACUUGAGUACUACAGGGGAGACUGGAAUUCCUGGUGUAGCGGUGAAAUGCGCAGAUAUCAGGAGGAACACCGGUGGCGAAGGCGGGUCUCUGGGUAGUAACUGACGCUGAGGAGCGAAAGCAUGGGUAGCGAACAGGAUUAGAUACCCUGGUAGUCCAUGCCGUAAACGG
rnacentral:rRNA from 1 species